rnacentral:lncRNA from 1 species
ACAAAAAUAGGUUUCAUUAAAGAGGUAAUGUACACUUAUACCCCUAGGGUUAAUUAAUCCAAACCUUAGGGUUUAGAGUUAAGGGGUGGAGUUUUGGAAUUAGGGUUUAAAAUUUUAUAAAUAAAAAAUAAUAAAAUAAAAAAUAAAAAUUUUAAAAACAGUUUCAAAAAGUAUUUUUAAAUUAUAAAAAGAAACUCUGAAAAAAAUAA